UCUUACAUGGAUAACCGUGGGAAACUGGGGCUAAUACAUGCGAAAAUGCCUAACGGCUGUAUUUAUUAGUUUCAAACCUUUAAUAACUUCGUUAUUUAGUGAGGAAUCAUAAUAACUAAUCGGAGCGAUGAAAGUCGCUACAUCAUUCAAGUUUCUGCCCUAUCAGCUUGAUGGUAGUGUAUUGGACUACCAUGGCAAUCACGGGUAACGGGGAAUUAGGGUUCGAUUCCGGAGAAGGAGCCUGAGAAACGGCUACUAUUUCUAAGGAAGGCAGCAGGCGCGUAAAUUACCCAAUCCUGACUCAGGGAGGUAGUUAAUGGAAAUAACCAGUCCGUCUCAUAGAGACUUGGACUAGUAAUGAAUAGAAUUUAGAAACUUCUUUGAAUACUAUUGGAGGGCAAGUCUGGUA
rnacentral:rRNA from 1 species